rnacentral:tRNA from 1 species
GGGCCGGUGGCGCAGUCUGGUAGGAAGGCCAGGAAAGCGCGCCGCGUUGGCAUCGCGGAGGUCGAGGGUUCGAAUCCCUCCCGGUCCA